rnacentral:siRNA from 1 species
AACAGACUGUUCAGACCUAGUGAA